UACGUAGGGUGCAAGCGUUGUCCGGAAUUAUUGGGCGUAAAGAGCUCGUAGGCGGCUUGUCACGUCUGCUGUGAAAACUCGGGGCUUAACCCCGAGCCUGCAGUGGAUACGGGCAGACUAGAGGUAGGUAGGGGAGAAUGGAAUUCCCGGUGUAGCGGUGAAAUGCGCAGAUAUCGGGAGGAACACCGGUGGCGAAGGCGGUUCUCUGGGCCUUACCUGACGCUGAGGAGCGAAAGCGUGGGGAGCGAACAGG
rnacentral:rRNA from 1 species